CAGAUGGCGGCAGUUACAACCGGCAUAUUCCCAGUUGGUGGCUUUAGCAUUUAGAAAUGAGCAUCUGUUCUUCUUCCCUAUUGCAAAGUGGUUUUAACUCAGAGGUGUUAAAAAUAUCUUUUUGCUAACCUUACCCACGAGAGGAAGAGCAACCUUUGGGUAGGAGUGGAUGAGAACAUCACCAGCGCAUGAGGGUUGGCAGCAUGGCCAUUCCAUGGAACCAGAUGCAUACUCUUCUCCGCUCUUUUUCUAAUGGCAGUGAAUAUAGCUGCAGAGUAUGUGAUGUUUCUCACACCCUAAAACCAUCAGAGGGUCCCCAAAUCACAGCCUGCUCCAUGUGCACAAAAGAAUAUGGUUUCUUUUCAUUGAGAGAACUCCAGUGAGGUGCUUUCCUUGAGGUCAAGUUUAUGUUAUUCCAAGAGUGCAAGUAAAUUUGGAAUUUCCUGACUUUUCUUCUUAAACCCCUUUAAAGGUGAUUUAUCUAUCCAAUUUCAACUCCUUGAAAUCUUACUUGGUCUCCAAAAUUGUGCAAAAAAUUACUAGAUAACAAAAAAGCCUCACAACCCAAAAAACCAGAACAACGUCAUUGGCACAACUGAAUUAGACCUGAAGCAAAAUUAGUAUCUGCAAUGAAUAAUUUUAAGCUGCGAUGAUACCUCAGAAGAGUGUAACAAGCACAUGUGAGAAGGUCACAGCACAUCUUAUUUUUCUAAGAAGAAUAUCUCAACUUGGAAGACCACAGCUAUACCUUAGUCUCCUUGUGGUAUUUGCCUGUGACAAAAUACCAAGUGGAGAACAGAACUUAAGAUGGCAUAUAUUCAGAAUCUAUUCAGAGCUAUGGAUGGUAAAGAAAGCCCCAGGAGAUACCCUAUUGGGUAGAGUGCAGAAAAUGACCAUAAAAACCAUCUGAGUUGACCAAAGAGUGGAUGUGUGUGGGUGUUAUGAGUGCAGUGCCACCAGCCACUGCUAAAGAUUUCACAUCUGUAUUACAUCUUCCAAACAACAGUAUGGCUGGAAAGCAUCUCAAGUUGCAAUCCCCUUCAUUUACCUGAACUGGAAAAGGCAUUAUGGGCAGUAACACAGAUAUCAGCAACUCCAGUUUUUAAAGGACCGCAGGAGGGAUUCAGAUAAAUUACCAUUCUCCUAUGUCUCUAAAUCUCAUUACUGUUUCCACGAGCUUUCAAUUUUUAACUGGAAGCACUUCCACAGACACUUUACUCAAAAAUGUCUUUUUAGAAAAUUAUGAUAAUUGAAUUGUCCACAGAGAAUGUCUGCUUUCAGAUGUUGAUGAUUUCUCCUUAUUCUUUGCUUAUAAGUUAGCUGUGAUUUGUAAGGCUCAUGAAUCAGGAAACCCAUUAAGGGAGCAAUAUAGACUUGGAUAAUUAUGCCUAACAUGGAGCCACCGUGAUGGCAAUGACAGCUGCCAUAUGUUCUGCUUAUCUGGGCAACUUGAAAGCUAAAGGAUGGUGUUGUAAGACAGAGAAGAAAGAGAUACUGUUAUGAUUUCUGCUUGUAGGAAUGAGGAAGAAAAAUUAUUGUUCAUAAGCCGCCAUGCGGAUAUUCAAAAUGCAACAUUUCAGCAGUCAGUGUUCUUAGGUGCCCUUGUCUGACUGUUCUUUGAAAUAUAAUUGGACUCUCUGCAUGCAGUUCCUCCUCAAAGUAUGGAAGCAAGUGUUUAAGCUUGCUUGAGGAUUAAGGAAAAUCUAAGUUUCAGAGGAGGUGGCAUUGUGUGAUGAAGCAGAAAAUUGUUGGAAGUAGAAAUCUAAGUUUUCCUGUCUCUGCCAUUUAACACAAUGUUCAUAGCAAAGUUGUCCAAAAUACUGGAUUACAAAUUGUGUUUAUUCCUACUGAUGUAUCUCUUUUUGUAGUUUGACUUAAUACAUUUUAAAUGUUCAGAUUUGUGCAAAAGCAUGCUGAGGAUUUUUUUAUAUUUAUUUAAGUGGAAAGAAACCUCUCAAGAAGUGUGAGUGUACAGGUUGUGUGUGCCAUUUGUUAUAGUUAGAGCACAUUGACAUCAGCCCUAGUACUGAUGUAGUUAUAAUAGUAAAAAUAAGUAUUUCAUUAGGAUAUAUGUUGUGGUAGUUGAAAUAUGAUAUAGGCUAUACUGAGAGAAACAAUUUUUAUGUCAGUUUAUGGUGUUUUUGUCUAUCGUUUACUACUUCAACUGUGUUAGAGAAAUGUGAAUAUAAAAUUACAUUCUGAGAUUUUGCCCUAACAAUAUUUGCUAAGAGAAGCAAUGAUAAUCCAUAUGCAUCCACAUUUAUUGUUUGAUAUAACAUUAACUCAUUCUUAGUUUUCUGCAGAAAAGGAGCUAACUAAAGACACUCUCAUUAAUGGUGAAGUCCCUAUUAUGACUUCAUGGUUAUCAUCACAACAGCCAAUUUAGAAUCCUCUUUAUUGCUGAGAUUUCAAACAGCCAGGCACAGAUAAACAAAAUUGCUCCUCCAAAUUAGAUAAAUGGAAUUUAAAUUAAUGAAAAUGGGGGGAUAGAGUUCCCUUAUACUGAUGACCUAAUGCUUUUUGUGACUAGGUCUAGGACCAGCCCACACCUGCACUGGCUUUUUCUCUUUGUAAUGUAGGAGUCAAUGUUGAGAAAAACAAGCAGGAUGUAAAAUUAACUCUUUUAUGGAAAAGCUUUUACUUGCACUCCCAGGAACAUAAUAACUUUCUUUUGGAAAUCUCAAAACUCUAAUGAAAAAAUAUUAUUCUCUAUGCAACUCUAUUUCCUUUAUGAAGCCCAAAUGAUGUAUAAAAUUAUCUUGACCCAUUUUCCUUCAAAAUCUGGAAAGUAAAGGAAUGAAGGAGCUCACUUAUGUCUUUGGUCACAUCACUGUGCUAUAAACAUGUUGUUAAAAAUAAUUAAAUAUUGUAAACAGGGACAGACUUCAUGUUAGGAAAAUGUAUAGGGAGUUACAAGACUUGUCACCAUAUAGCUGCGUGAAUUUUCCCAUUCUGAUUGGAAAUAAAAAAAGUCAUCACACACAAGAAUUUUUCUUAUGUAUGUCUUGUUUUCAAUAUGUUUCCUAUUGCAUAUCUUGGGAAACUUGUAUGUAGUUUAGGAUUUUUAGUCUUAAAUGUGUAAAAGUGAAAUCUGCAAGUAAACAGCAUUUUUUGUAGUCCAGGUCAGGGGCCCCCAGCACAAGAAGGAUCCAGAGCUUUGGCAACAAGUCCAGAAGAGGCCAUGAGGAUGAUCAGAGGGCUGGAGUACCUCUUCUAUGAAGACUGAGGCAGCUGGUCUUGUUCAGCCUGGAGAAGAGAAGGCUCUGGGAAGACCUCACUGUGGCCUUGCAGUGCUUAAACAGAGAUUACAGGCAGGAGGAGGUCCAACAUUUUGCAUAACUGAUACUGACGAGAUAAAAGGGAAUGUUUUUUUAAAUGAAACAGGAGUAUUUUAUAUUAGAUAUUAGGAGGAAAUUCUUCACUUGUGAUGAGGUCCUGGCACAGGCUGCCCAGAGAAGCUCUGUGUGUCCCAUCCCUGGAAACAGUCAAGGCCAGGCUGGAUGGGGCCCUGUUCUAACCCGAACUGGGGGGUGGCAAGCAGUCCAUGACAGGGAGUUGGAGCUGGAUGAACUUUAAGGUCCCUUCGAAUUAAAGCCAUUCUAUGAUUCUAUGAGAAAAAAGAAAAAAAAAAAAAAAAGAAUAGUCUAGAGAUCUUUCAAAUAUUAACAAUUUUAAAA
ensembl:lncRNA